rnacentral:lncRNA from 1 species
GGACAUGUGGGGACCCUCUGAACCUCUCACGGCCUCACCUUUGCUUGCUGUUGGUUUGCAUGGCGGUUUCUUCUCACUCAGUGGCCCGAGGGUUGGUUUGUAUCACUAACCGCUCCUUCUCGGUAAACGCCUCCUGUGGAAGCAUAAGUAACGCCAGUUUCCUGGAUGUGGAGACCCCCUGCUGACUGAGGAUGUGUCUGAGACACUAGUGAGACCCUGUGUGUUGCUCAUCUCCUCCAACGAUCUGCAUCUGCACCUAGGGUCCACCCGACGAGCCCUUAGGGUCCACAUGCGAUGGUUUUGCUUUCCUGUCUGUGAUGUUCCCUGAUCUGAGUGCAUGGUUCUUUGUAAAUAAAGAUCUGAGCCAUGUCACUGCAGCUCUCUCCCACCCGUGCCCCCCAGACCACUCGUGGUGGCUGUAAUAGUCUGGCCCAGGGCAGGGAGCUGGUGUGGACAUUAAAGUUACAGCAAACCCUUGCAAAGGCCUGCAGAGGCAGCUGGUGACAAUCUGCUGGAGAGAAGGACAUCUCGUAUGCCACAAAUGAAGACAGGGCUCCCGGGUGGAGAAGAGAGACGCUGCCUCAUGGCCCAUCCUCCGGCUCCUGCUCACAUGCCCCUCACCCAGCCAGGGCAGAAGCACUCUGCCAGACAGGCAGCUGAGCAGAUGCAAAUGGCUGCUGGCCCCCAGACCCACAUCCUUACCCCAGACAGCUGCAGAAGGCCCUGGUGUCAGGCUCUUGUUUUUAACGAGCCUCUCUUUGUGCUUGACCCAGUCAGGACAGAGUGAGAGAACCUGUUGAGGAGCAGUGUGUUCCAUCUUACAAGCAGUGGCCCAGCUUGGAAUAGAGCAGAAGGUCCUGCAGGUGUGGAGCUGAGGCCUUCACGUUAGCCAGACGCAGCACUGAGAAAUUUGUCUGAGGGAGAAAAGACUUUAAAAGUGAAGCCCCAAAGAGGGCUGAUAGUUGAUCUUGCUUGAUGCUAUGCACGCACACACACACAUGCAUGCACACGUACUCACAUGCACACAUACAUAUACACACCUGCACACACACAUGUACACAUGUGUGCAUAUAUACACGGAUGUGCAUACACCUACAUAUACGUACACACCUACUUGUGUGCCCAUAUGCAUUCAUGUGUGUGUGCAAACCUGUGCACGUGCUUCUGUACACACAUGCAUGCACACAUUCUCACAGGUACAUACAUACACACAUGCAUGUGUGUACAUACAUGCAUGCACACUCUGGCUGAGUACACAUACAUGUACACGUGCACAUGGGCAUGUGCACACAUACACACAUGUGUGCACACAUACUCAGAUGCAUACACACAUGCCUACAUAGGCACGUGUACACAGUCUUUUUUUUUGCCGGGGGUGCAGCCCAGGGCCCUGUACAUUCCA